rnacentral:rRNA from 1 species
AGCGAACGCUGGCGGCAGGCCUAACACAUGCAAGUCGAACGAACUCUUCGGAGUUAGUGGCGGACGGGUGAGUAACACGUGGGAACGUGCCUUUAGGUUCGGAAUAACUCAGGGAAACUUGUGCUAAUACCGAAUGUGCCCUUCGGGGGAAAGAUUUAUCGCCUUUAGAUCGGCCCGCGUCUGAUUAGCUAGUUGGUGAGGUAAAGGCUCACCAAGGCGACGAUCAGUAGCUGGUCUGAGAGGAUGAUCAGCCACAUUGGGACUGAGACACGGCCCAAACUCCUACGGGAGGCAGCAGUGGGGAAUCUUGCGCAAUGGGCGAAAGCCUGACGCAGCCAUGCCGCGUGAAUGAUGAAGGUCUUAGGAUUGUAAAAUUCUUUCACCGGGGACGAUAAUGACGGUACCCGGAGAAGAAGCCCCGGCUAACUUCGUG